GAUGAACGCUAGCGAUAGGCUUAACACAUGCAAGUCGAGGGGUAACGUGUUGGAAGCUUGCUUCCGAUGACGACGACCGGCGGAUGGGUGCGUAACGCGUAUGCAACUUGCCUCACAGUGGAGAAUAACCCGGAGAAAUCCGGACUAAUACUCCAUACUCUCUUAAGUACGCCUGUACAUGAGAGGAAAGAUUUAUCGCUGUGAGAUAGGCAUGCGUCCUAUUAGGUAGUUGGUGAGGUAACGGCUCACCAAGCCGACGAUAGGUAGGGGUGCUGAGAGGCAGAUCCCCCACAAUGGGACUGAGACACGGCCCAAACACCUACGGGAGGCAGCAGUGAGGAAUAUUGGUCAAUGGAGGAAACUCUGAACCAGCCAAGUCGCGUGAAGGAAGAAUGUCCUAAGGAUUGUAAACUUCUUUAGCGAGCGAGUAAGGACUUCCACGUGAUGGGAGUUUGAAAGUAGCUCGAGAAUAAGUAUCGGCUAACUCCGUG
rnacentral:rRNA from 1 species